AUUACAUUCAAUUUGUCCAUUAAACCAUCAUAACAAAGAGCAUUACACCAAUCAAGCCACCAAUCAAAACAUUAGAAAACCAUUCCUGAACAUGAAAUACAAUAUGACAAACCACUUGCGAGAACUCACCAAAACAUGACCUCACCAACCAUGACCAUUGACCUGCUGCAACCUCACCAUGACUUGUUGCAUCAAUACACAUCUGCCUUGAACUUACAGCCAUGCCCUACAUCCACAUAUCAUAACCUCCAGCAACAUCUAUCAAGCCUUGACACACCAUCAUCACCAUGAACAUGAUGAAACCUGGAACAUUAGCAUUCCAUACAAAAAUAUAAUACAUAUUUCAAAUAUUCAAUCCUCUAACAGUCAGUUUAACUAACAUUUCACUAACAGAGAAAUGAUAGUUCAAACUUUCAACUAAUUCUCCUUUGGUUAAUGCUAACUAAAUAAUGCAUUAAUUAACUUCAUAACUAGUUAAUGGUGUUAACUCUUCUAACAAACUUACUAAUUGAUUGAACUAACCCUAACCUCUUCCCGAACCUUCAAAAAAACUUUACCCGAGUCUGCCCCAUUAUGUUACAAGCCCCAUUAUGUUACAAGCUGCGAUCCCUAUAAAUCAAACCUCAUACAUACAUCCAAUGGGACUGAUCAUAAUACCGAAAAUCUCAGAAUCUAUGCAUCAUCUUCAACCUCUCAAAUAUAAUCACUCAGAGCACAUCCCUAGCCUUCUGCAACGUAUCACCAUUAGACCUUGAAUGAAGGUGUCCUAAAACCUCUAUAUGAUUCCAUCACUCUCUUCACAACCUCAUGAGUUCUCUCUGCAACUUCUACUCCCUCUCAAAGCACAAUCUUAGGUAUACAUUUUAGGAGAAGAAGAAGAAGGAUCUUUAGAGGAGGGAGAAUCAGAAAGAAGAAGAAGAUAAGAGCAGGAGCAUACCAGAUUUCAAGUGAUUUUCCCAUCGCUGCUUCAUCUUCUCCGAUCCAACACUUUGGCGGAGUAAUUCUCAGCUUCGGAGGUAGGUUCAUCUUCAUGAUUCUAUUGCAAUUAGGUUAUCAUGUUGUAGCUUGCAUCAUGGCGAUUUAAAUCCCUAACAAUUAUGGCUCUGAAUCUUGUCCUUCGCUGUGUAAUUAAUGGUUGAACUCCUAGGGUUCUUGAAUUCUUUUGUCCGAUUUUGAGGAUAGAUUCAGAUUUGGUUGAAAUUCAAGGAAGAUUUGGAUUGGGGAGGUAGAAACAGAUUCUUUGCUGUAUCUGAUGGUUGUUUAUGGUGGCCACCGCGCCUGAGGCAAUUCCCGGUGCUAUUUAGUUUUUGUUCAUUUUUGUUGUUUAUUUGUUUUUGUUCAUUUUUGUUGUUUAUUUGUUUAAUUUUAAUUGUUUUUAAUUAGGCCAUUUAGAGUUUUUAGGAUUAGUUUAAUUAGUUUAGUUAGAUUUUUAGGACUAAUUAGAUUCAAGAUGUUAAUUAGAAUUUUAGUGAGUAAUUAGGACCUUUAGGUAAUUAGCUUAGAACCUUAGAAAAAUAGGAUUAAUUAGAGUAUUAAUUAACUUUUAAAAUUUAGUUAGAUUUCUAAAUAAUUAGGUUUCUUGAAUGUUAAAAUAGUAUUUUUAGAACUUUAUUAAUGUUUAGGUUGUUAGUUAGGAUGAUCAUGAUUAGGAUUUAAUUUUGUCCCUAAUUGAAUAUUCAUGUAAACUCCUUUAGACUAGGUUAACCAUCAUUCUCAAAUUAAUUCAAACCAUCCAAUUUAAGUUGAUCAAAAGCAAUUUUGAUUAGCUAAAUCCUUUGAUCAAGUAUAAUCCCACAGUCCAUUCAAGUGAUCAAAAGUCCCUUGAUCACUUGAUAAGACUAUUUCUAAUGUUGUGGAUCUCCAUGCUUCAAGUCCAGACUUUCAUGCAAGGCAUCCUAGUCAAGUUAAGCAGCGGAUUAUACAAGAUACAACAAAGCUCAACACUUGGUAAUUAUGAUUCAAAUUGUAUGCCACGAGCCUUAAGUAAUGAGGAAUGAUGAAACAUAUUUUCUCCUACCCUUGUCUACUGUGACUUUGUGUACGAGGCAUAAGCCUUAGCUAUUCAAAGCAUUUGUCUUCAUUCAUAGACAUUAAUACAAUAUGAAUAGAAUAAAUUGCCAUGUUUUCUUCUCUAAAGCAACAUCAACCCAAGGAGCAGCAAGGAGGAUUCUUCCCUAACAACUUGUUAGUUAUGAUAAAUAUCACAUGCCAUGAGCCUUAUGUAAUGAGGAAUUAUGAGACAAAGUUUCUCCUACCCUUGUCUAGAGUGACUUUGCAUAUGGGGCAUAGGCGCUAGCUAUUCGAAGCAUUCACCUUCAUUCAUAGACUUUAGUGUGAUUCGUAUCAAAUGAUUUUCAAACACUCUCCAUAUUUCAUCAUCAAUCAUUUCUCUUGCCUUCUCUUGAUGUCAGCCCUAGUGGGCUGAACUACGAAAGCUCUGACUUUCUCAUUGCACGGUGAGAAUACGUAGGCAGGAGGAUUCAGAUUCUUCGCGCGCUACCCUAUUUAUUAAUUUUAUUAAUUUCUCCAUUCAAUCAAUACCAUCUUUUUGAGAUCAAAAUCACUUUUUCUUGGACUCUAUGUACAUCCUUUUAGGACGAUAUAGCGAUAGUUCACCUUGUGAACCAAGAGUUGUUUGGCUCAUACCCAUACAUUUUAUUCUUUUUUUUUUGGCUAAGACUCUUUUUUACUCUUCGAUUUAGAGUUUAUUCCUUCAUGGAUCUAAUAAAUUAUUCUUCUUUGAUUUCAAAAUGAAUGUUCCCCAACAAGUGAUAUAUUGUUCCUUGUACCGACAAUACUUUCCUGUGGACCCCAUAUACCCUUUUAGGAUGAUAUAUCGACAAUCUACCUUAUGAACCAAGAGUUGUUUGACUCGUAACCAAACAUUUAAUUCCUUCUUUUUUGGAUAUGACACAUGUUUACUCUUCGGUUCAAAGUUCAUUUUCCUUUGUGGGUUCCCAUGUUACCAUUCUGUUGGUGCAAGUUAUACUUUUCAUCACUAUCAAUCUCUCUCUUUGUUCUCAUGGUUCCAUGAAUUAGGAAUGCUCUUACUUUCUCAUUGAAUGAUGAUAAUACGUAGGCACGAGGACGCAAAUCCUUGGAGAGCACAAUCCUAAUUAUUCCUUUUGCCUUAGGGCACCAUUCAUAUCUUCCAUUAUCCACGAUCUACCUUCAAUCCUUAAACUGAUCACCCCAGUGACAUACUGUUUCUUUGAAACCAGAUACAAUUUUCUUUGGAAUACCAUAUAUACCAUUUUAGGACGAUAUAACGGCAAUCCACAUUUGUACCUAUAGUUAUUUGGCUUGUACCCAAACACUUUAUUCCUUUUUUUUGUUGCUAAAACGCCAUUUCCCUCUACGAUACAAAUUCCAUUUCUCCAAUGGAUUCCAAUAUACCCUGACCUUUGGUUCCAAAUUACACCUCUUCAGUCACUCCAUGUGAUAUACCUUAUCUUUGAGCCAAACACACUAUCACUUUGAGCUCCAUCUUGUGUCACCUUGUGAACCAAUAGAUGUUUGUCUCGUAUACAAACACUUAAUUCUCUUUGUUUUUGGCUAUACCAUAUAUAGUGGUGAACGCUUCUGGCUACCCACAUCUUAGUCAACGCCUAUUUUACUCUUGAGUUUAGAUUCCAUCCCUUGUUGGAGUUCAAAACACAUUAUCCUUUGGUUCAGACCAUACCUUUAUCGCAACUUCUUUUCACCUCCCGCCAUUAGUUCUAUGAGCUACGGAGCUCUGAAUUCCUUAUUGAGCUAUAAGGAUACGUAGGCACGAGGACCACAAUCCUCACCGAGAACUUUAUCUAUUUCUUUUCCAUCCUUUUUUAUUUCGCGAGUAACCUUUAGAUAGAACACCCAUUUGAGCAAGAACGAUCAAAACGGUUCCCAUGGAGUACCAUGGAUGUUAGGGGUGCUAAUAUCCUCCCCUUGCAUAACCGACUUUCUUACCCAGAUAUCUUUUUCCCCCGGGUUUUAUCGAUGUUUUCCCUUUCCUUCGGGAAUAAAUCAAGUUUGAUGGCGGCUCUGUUGUAUGUUCGAGCGUGUGAUGCGUUCGGGUAUAUUUUCGCUAGCUUCACAAAUAUGUUGCUCUAUUUAUAGGGAAGUGAUUGGUAAUCUCAUUGUGCCAAAGAUGCUCAAUUCAUGCUCAUGAAUUUGCUCAGGAGGCUUUUUGAUCCCAUUCUUCUUGCAAUUUGUUGACAUCAUAUCAAGUAUCAUAAUAUGCCAAUAAAGGUUGCAUUUGGAUGCUUGAUCAUAAAGUUAUGACAUGUUGAAGUUGGCACAAAAAUAUGGUAAUGCAACUUGGAAAAUUCUAAGUCCCAAAUGGCUGAAAAUGACCUAUAAUGUGUCAAAGAAUUCAAUGGCCUUCCAAGCAUAUUUUGACUUUGAUCCUUGAAGAAAACUUGUAGAUAUAGUUACAAAUGAUAUUGUGCAAAAAUAAUCAGCCUCAAUAUUGAAAGUUGAAGAAAUUAUGAACCUUGAAAGUUGAGAAAAAGUCACUUGAAAAUAGGUCAAUUUUUUUCACGAAGUCCAUAAAUGACCUAUAAUGUCUUCAAACGUUCAAUGAUCCUCCAAGCAUAAUUGGCUCUUAUCAUGUAAAUAUAAGUUGUAGGGGAUAUUUAGAAGAGUCAUAUGCAAAAAUAAGCAUUCAAAAAUAUGGAUAAUUGAAGGAGUUGUGAGCCUUUGAACUUUGACUUCAAAUGUUGACUUUUUGGUCAAACCUCUUAGAAAUAAUUAAUGUACUUAGACUUUUCUUGCAUUUCAAGGUACAUGGAUGAUCAUAUGAAAUGAAAAUAAUGUGUCCUUAAAUUAUUUUGAUUAAAUUGCUUAAAUCUUGAGGUAACUUGUUGAAGAAGACAUGGAAAUGAACACACGGACCUUUGACUUUUCUUGAGAAAUAAGCAACAAAACUUUGAGAUACUCUUGAUCAAGAUGAGGUUGAAAGAUGCUUGAGAACCUUAAAUAUCAUGUUUUGAGAGUUAAUCCCCUUGAGAAUCAAUGGUUGAACAUACUUUUACUUGAGGAAUCAACCCAAAUCCUAUAUGAGGAACCAUGCUUAAUGCUCUUGAUGAAAAGCCCUACCUUGCACAAUAAACUUAAAGUAAACAAAACAUAUUUUUUGCUAUUUUGAUUAGUGGUUAGAUAAGAAAUGAACAUAUAAACAUAAAUAUAAAAAACUAACAAAGAGGUGCCUGAUGAUCCCUACAAAAGGAAAACCCAGAGAUGAGAGGGAGAAGACACAAGUAUGAUCUUGUUUGUAUGAAAGGAUCCAAAUGAUAUGUGGGAUCUUAGGGUUAAAAAUUAGGGUAUGAUAGAUGCCCUUAUUUAAGUUUCUUCAAUUCAGAGAUAUGAAGAUUGAAAUCUUCGUCUCGACGAGAUGGAAGAGACUUAAAUACAGAAGACCCAAUUUUUGGUCCUAAGAUACCGCAAAAAUGGUCAUGAUAUGAUUGAAUGCAGACAAGGAUCUCUUUGAGGAAUAUAGCGCCACGAAAGACAAAUGACUACUAGAGAAACAAGGAGACUGAAAUUCUCUAGGGGAAUAAUAGAUUCUAAAGGGGAUAACCAACUGGGGACAAACAAAGUUCCAUAGAUGAAAGGGAAAGACUCGCAGACAACUACGACACGAAAUUGUUGGAGACAAAGGGAUGCUCUCCAGGAAAAUUAAUUACUGGGAAGCGACUAGACUCGAGAAUAACUAUUGUAUUAGAAAGCAACCAAUGCAUAGUUAUAAAACAAACGACCCAAAGACCCAACAGGGGAAGACUUAUCAAAGCAAGACUCUGACGGGGAAAAAAUCAAUCAAAGGGGAUACUCAACUCCACUAGGGGUAGAAAUUACCUAACUAUCAGCCAAGUGAUAACUUAACAAAGAUAAUAAGCUCAAAAGGAAAGAUUACCAACUACCAGCCAAGUGAUAGCUUAACAAGGUAACCAACCAAAGGUAAAAAGAAAUAUUACCUAACUAUCAGUCAAGUGAUAUCUUAACAAAGGUAAUAAGCCCAAAAGGAAAGAUUACCAACUACUAGCCAAGUGGUAGCUUAACAAGGUAACCAACCGAAGGUAUAAAACGAAUAUUACCUAACUAUCAACCGAGUGAUAUCUUAACAAAAGUAAUAAGCACAAAAGAAAAGAUUACCAACUACCAGCUAAGUGAUACCUUAACAAGGUAACCAACCGAAGGUAAAAAAGGAAUAUUACCUAACUAUCAUCCAAGUGAUAACUUAACAAAGGUAAUAAGCCCAAAAGGAAAGAUUACCAACUACCAGCCUAGUGAUAGCUUAACAAGGUAACCAACAAAAGGUAAAAAUAAAUAUUACCUAACCAUCAGCCAAGUGAUAGUUUAACAAAGGUAAUAAGCCCAAAAGGAAAGAUUGCCAACUACCAGCCAAGUGAUAGCUUAACAAGGUAACCAACCAAAGGUAAAAAAAGAAUAUCACUGAUCAGUGCAUUUUGAUGCACGUUCUUUCAUGUUUGUACUUAAGCAUUUCUUCAGUUUGCUUUGAUUAUUUUUAUGUUUUAAUGUGUUUUCAUAAUUUAUGUUAUUUUUGCACUUAUUUAAUUUUCGUAUUUAAUUUUCAGCAUUAGCAGCUUUCGCGAGAAAAAUCAUAUCUUGAGCUAGGAGUAUCGGAUUGAGACGUGCUACAUGUCGAUGGAAAGCUAAGAAAAAGAUCUACAAUGUUUGUUCAGAAGUCGAGAGCUGAAUCAGACUGUAACAGGGCCAGAAAAUUCAUUGAAGUUGCAGCAUUAGUUUUAUUUAAGUUUAGGGUCAUUAGUUUUGGGCUUGAGUUAUGUUUUCGAUCCAGUUGGGUUUAAACCAAAUUCCUUGU
rnacentral:lncRNA from 1 species